rnacentral:rRNA from 1 species
AUGAAUAUCCUAUGUUGGAAUUGUCGUGGUGUGGGCAAAGUCGCGACAAUUCGAGAGCUUCGCGAUUUGCCGAAGCAAUUUGCCCCGACAGUGCUAUGUAUCGUAGAAACUCAGAUCUCGAAAGCACGUGUCGAAAAUCUUGCUACUACUUUAGGUUUUAAUCAUGCUUAUGCUGUUGGCAGUUCAGGCCGCAGCGGUGGAAUCGGUAUUUUUUGGAACAAUGGAAUA